GAUGAAGAACGUAGCGAAAUGCGAUAAGUAAUGUGAAUUGCAGAAUUCAGUGAAUCAUCGAAUCUUUGAACGCACAUUGCGCCCCUUGGUAUUCCGGGGGGCAUGCCUGUUCGAGCGUCAUUUCAACCCUCAAGCUUCUGCUUGGUCUUGGGCCGUGCCGGCAACGGCUGGCCUUAAAACUAGUGGCGGUGCCAUCGAGCUCUACGCGUAGUAAUUCUAUCUCGCGUCUGGGCUUCGGUGGACGCUGGCCAGCAACCCCCAAUUUUCUAUGGUUGACCUCGGAUCAGGUAGGGAUACCCGCUGAACUUAAGAAUAUCAAUAAGCGGAGGA
rnacentral:misc_RNA from 1 species